CCUUUGAUGGUUAAAGUGCUGAAGGCCUGGCAGGCCCUAUGGGAACUGGACCUGCUCCACCUGUGGGUCCCAGGACAAGGGGCCUUCUCUGCUGCCUUCUGGCCUCUAGAGUCUCCCUGACUCAUUCACACCCCAGAUGCCGGGCAUACGCCUUGUGCUUGUGCAGCGUCCCAUGUGUACUAGUUCAUUUCAUUUUAACAACUAGUUGGGUUUCAUACUGGUCAUUUACCUGUUUUACUGACAGGAAAACUGAGUUACCUAACUAAACAAUUUGCCCCUAAUCCUACAGCUAAUAAGUGGGAGCCACAAGUCAAACCAGGCACCUACUUCCACAGCCUGCACUUUUAACCAGUGUACCACACUAUCAAAAGAUACCUGCUAAUGUCCCCAUGACUGACUUGCCAGGCCACCAACUCCAGCUCCUUCUCUGUUACCUUUACAGUCAGCUUCUGACUACCUUGCUUUCUUCCCCCCAUUUUUUAAAAUUGUUGAUGGACCUUUAUUUUAUUCAUUUAUUUAUAUGCGCUGCCAAGAAUGGAACCCAGUGCUCACACAUGCUAGGCAAAUGCUUUACCACUGAGCCACAACCCCAGCCCUACCUUAGCUUUUUAAUGCCC
rnacentral:lncRNA from 1 species